UCGUAACAAGGUCUCCGUAGGUGAACCUGCGGAGGGAUCAUUA
rfam:Albugo candida, Ac Nc2, WGS project CAIX01000000 data, contig: AcNc2_CONTIG_3243_length_224